UUAGCAGGAAGGGACUAGAAAUCCUCUCUGUUGCUUUUUUGAUUUUGAGAGUGAAUAGCCUCAC